AAGAGUGAUGGUGAUUGUAGUAAGCGACAAUCCAACUUAUCUCAGUGAAAUGGCAAAGUUGUGUUCCGAAGCUGGCCUUCUUCGGUGGCCUACGAAGAUUCUCAUUCUAACUAAUGUACCACAUGGGAGCCUCCACGAACUUUCUCCUCUGCUUUCUGAAACAAAUAGUGUUUUGUUAUUCAGAAAUACCAUGCGAAAUAGUGUAAGUGCUUAUGUCCGACUACCAUAUGCUCCAAUAAAAUCGGCGCCAAUGAGAAUUGCUUCAUGGACGGCAAAGGGUGGUCUAAAAUCAACGUCAUCACUUCAUCUUUUUCCUGACAAAUAUUCAAUAUUCUCGUCAGCACCGCAGUUGGUUGUGGCGGUCUUCUUACACCCUCAUCACAAAUUGGAUUGGAUUGAGGACCCAAAUGCUGAUGGGGGUCGCCGUCUUGUCUUCGAAGGAGCUAUGGCGGAAACCACCAAAUUCAUUGCUACAGCAAUGAACUUUACAGUAAAAUAUGUGAACAUACCAGGCAACGUUGGGGUGAAACUAUCAAAUGGGACUUGGACAGGAACAAUUGGAAUGGUCCAUUCAAAGAUCGCGGAUUUUGCCCCUGGACCUUUUAUAUUGUCUGCGAUCAGAGGACAGGCAAUUGACUUCACUUCUACGAUCUGGAUGGAUAACAUGAGGAUUGUCAGUGGGCGAGGAUCAGCAGAAGUUGAUCCUUGGAGCUUUCUUUUUCCCUUGGAUUCAAGGGUGUGGGUGGCAUUCUUGGUGGCUUUGCUGGUCAUAUUGGCAAUAGUGGUGUUGCUCCCAUUUUCCAUGCGAGACCAAAUUUCUCUUGCUAGCAAACAAGCUGGUCAUCCUUUGGACUUUGUGCGUGUAGCCCUUC